rnacentral:rRNA from 1 species
UACGAAGGGGCGAGCGUUGUUCGGAAUCACUGGGCGUAAAGGGCGCGUAGGCGGCCCUUCUUGUCGCGUGUGAAAGCCCCGGGCUCAACCUGGGAACGGCGCGCGAGACGGGGGGGCUGGAGUUCGGGAGAGGAGCGUGGAAUUCCCAGUGUAGAGGUGAAAUUCGUAGAUAUUGGGAAGAACACCGGUGGCGAAGGCGGCGCUCUGGACCGGGACGUGACGCUGAGGCGCGAAAGCGUGGGAGCAAACAGG